rnacentral:rRNA from 1 species
AGAGUUUGAUCAUGGCUCAGAAUGAACGCUGGCGGCGUGCUUAACACAUGCAAGUCGAACGAUGAAGUUUAGUUUACUAAAUGGAUUAGUGGCGCACGGGUGAGUAAUAUAUAGAUAACGUGCCUCUUAGUCUGGGAUAGCCAUUGGAAACGAUGAUUAAUACUAGAUACUCCUUCUAACUCUAAUGUUAGUUGGGAAAGUUUUUCGCUAAGAGAUCGGUCUAUAUCCCAUCAGCUAGUUGGUAGUGUAAGAGACUACCAAGGCUAUGACGGGUAGCGGGUUUGAGAGGAUGAUCCGCCACACUGGUACUGAGACACGGACCAGACUCCUACGGGAGGCAGCAGUGAGGAAUAUUGCACAAUGGAGGAAACUCUGAUGCAGCAACGCCGCGUGGAGGAUGACGCAUUUCGGUGUGUAAACUCCUUUUAUAUGUCAAGAAAAUGACGGUAGCAUAUGAAUAAGCACCGGCUAACUCCGUGCCAGCAGCCGCGGUAAUACGGAGGGUGCAAGCGUUAUUCGGAAUCACUGGGCGUAAAGGACGCGUAGGCGGGAAGCCAAGUCUGAUGUGAAAUCCUAUGGCUCAACCAUAGAACUGCAUUGGAAACUGGUUACCUAGAGUAUGGGAGGGGGAGAUGGAAUUAGUGGUGUAGGGGUAAAAUCCGUAGAUAUCACUAGGAAUACCGAAAGCGAANGCNAUCUCCUGGAACAAUACUGACGCUAAGGCGUGAAAGCGUGGGUAGCAAACGGGAUUAGAUACCCCGGUAGUCCACGCCCUAAACGAUGAACA